rnacentral:rRNA from 1 species
GACGAACGCUGGCGGCGUGCUUAACACAUGCAAGUCGAACGGUGAAGCGCCUUCCUUUUUGGUGGGUGUGGAUGAGUGGCGAACGGGUGAGUAACACGUGAGUAACCUGCCCCCUUCUUCUGGAUAACCGCAUGAAAGUGUGGCUAAUACGGGAUAUUCUGGGUCUGUCGCAUGAUGGGUCUGGGAAAGAUAUUGUUUCGGUGGGGGAUGGGCUCGCGGCCUAUCAGCUUGUUGGUGGGGUGAUGGCCUACCAAGGCGGUGACGGGUAGCCGGCCUGAGAGGGUGGACGGUCACACUGGGACUGAGACACGGCCCAGACUCCUACGGGAGGCAGCAGUGGGGAAUAGUGCACAAUGGGCGCAAGCCUGAUGUAGCGACGCCGCGUGAGGGAUGGAGGCCUUCGGGUUGUGAACCUCUCUCGCCAGUGAAGCAGGCCUGCCUCGUUUGUGGGUGGGUUGACGGUAGCUGGAUAAGAAGCGCCGGCUAACUACGUG